UUCUUCUUCUUCUUCUUCUUCUGUUCCACCUUCGGCCAUGUCGCCGAAUGUGGUGCGAGUCGUUGCAGCUCCGACCGCCGCUGCCACCUCAUGGGCGGCCAUGUUGAUCGGGAAUCUGUCAUUUAGCAGUUAUGAUUUUGUCAACGGGACUUCAGCAGUGUGAGGUACUUCGGUUUUCAAAAGAGGAGCUCGGGAUAAUUGCAGUGCACACACCAUUUAUUCAGCCUGGGAUGUUUAUACUCUGAUAUAUAUUUGACAGACAUUAAGAUAUUCUUAGGAUACACGAUUCAUGAUUUCUAUAUGUUGAAUGAUAGAUAUGGUUUUAUUAAUGACUUAAAACGAAAAUUUUAGA